CAGCCUAGAUGCCCCUCAACCAAAGAGUGGAUAGAGAAAAUGUGGUACAUUUAUAUAAUGGAGUACUACUCAGAGGAAAAAAACAAUGGAAUCUUGAAAUUUGCAGGAAAAUGGAUGGAACUAGAAGAAACCAUUCUGAGCGAGAUUUUGCGGGGAUAUAAGCUGUAAGGGAAAAAAUGAAGACAUAAGAGAAGGAAAACACCAGGAGAGAUGUAGAAGGAAAGAUGGAAGGAAGACAUCAAAAGAGACAGAAGGGAUACGUCUGGAUAGAG
rnacentral:lncRNA from 1 species